rnacentral:sRNA from 1 species
CCAUUUACUUGGUGGAGAGAGAAGUUCAAACCAGUAUAAAUCUGACCAAAAAAACACAAACAGAACAUAAAUAUUUUGCAGUGGUAAAGCCUCCUCGUUAAGCGCUUUUAAGUUUGAUCAAAAGUUGUGCAGAUGAAAGACUUCGUGGGAUGCUACAUUCAUUGCUAUUACUCAAGAUUACCUUAGGCUGAUGUGUGUUGUCAUUCUUUUCAAAAGCUUAUUUAAAUAUAUAUACAUAUUACAAUUUCGAAACUGUUAGUUCCCCGUUGCCUAGGAUUAUUGUGUGAUAUAUCUGUGCGAUGUUGUUAAUGUUUGGGUAUUACUGAAUAUUUGUAGUUACAACGUGUCAAGUUAAGUUCAUCACGUCAACAGUUGAAAAAAAAACGUAAAGAAUUAAUAACAUGUUUACCAAAACAAAAAACACAUGAUGUGGAAGAUAAUGUUGUGACUCUGAAGAAAGUAUUUUCACUGCAAUUUUUAGUUCAUGGGAAAUGGUUUCACUUGUUGUAAAGCAAGUUGGUAUUUAUACCAUGCAAGGGAGGCAAGUUUUCUUUUCUUUCACAAACAUACUUAUUUGUGAUUACUUCCCUUAGAACAGUCUGGAAUAAUUUGGUUGGCC